rnacentral:rRNA from 1 species
AAUAUCGGACAAUGGUCGAAAGCCUGAUCCAGCCUUGCGGCGUGUGUGAAGAAGGUCUUCGGUUUUUAAAUCACUUUAAGUGGGGAGGAAGGGCUGUAGGUUAAUACCCUUCAAUUUCGACGUUACCAACAGAAUAACCACCGGUUAACUUGGUGCUGGCAGCCGCGGUAAUACGAAGGGUGCAAGCGUUAAUCGGAAUUACUGGGCGUAAAGCGGGCGGAGGUGGUUCGUUAAGUUGGAAGUGAAAGCCCCGGGCUUAACCUGGGAAUUGCUUUCAAAACUGACGAGCUAGAGUACGGUAGAGGGUAGUGGAAUUUCCUGUGUAGCGGUGAAAUGCGUAGAUAUAGGAGGGAACAUCAGUGGCGAAGGCGACUACCUGGACUGAUACUGACACUGGGGUGCGAAAGCGUGGAGAGCAAACAGG